rnacentral:lncRNA from 12 species
AUGUGUAGCCUGGUGACAGAAGCUGAGCCUGAUGACAGAGGCCCAGAGCAGCGGAGCCAGGAUGGGCUGAUGUGGUAUCCCACGAACAGGAGACCGCCCAUCUGGGAGGACAGCAAAGGAAGGCCUGGCGGCCCAGGUGGCCCUGUGCCCUCAGCCAGGAGGCAGGUGGGCUUGCUGCUGGUGGAAUUGGUACCCUCCUGGGCUGCACCUGGGCUCUUGAGGCUCAGCUGUGGUUGUGUGGAUGCUCACCCCAGGGAGCAGGCUGAGAAACAGCCUUGCCUCGGGCACGGUCCCCGUCUGCUUACCGGCAAUGACACCUGACUCCACUCCUUUGCCCCACCUGAGCAUCAGCUCCAGGACCUGUGAAGGGGGCAUAACCAUACCUACGCCGGGAUUGCCAUGACAAUCGCAUGAAAUACCAAAUGGGAGGGCGCUUUAUAAAUGGCAGUGCACCGAGUGUGAAGGUAGAGGGGCUGCCUGGCUGCCCACGUGAGUGUGCACACUCAGGUAUUGUCCACACCUACAUAAACAUUUUCACCUCGGCAAGUAUGUGUUUGUCCGCACCGGGCAUCAAAUACUCUCCCUUUCUGCAGUUCGGUUAACUGAGAAUCAGCCUCCACGUGAGGGUGGGAGUGGGGAGAGGGGUGCCUUCACCAGCGGGGCGGGAGGGGGUGGCCAGCCUGAGGGAGCGCCACGCAGUUGUAGGGGGCUCACCUGCUAUGGGUGGCCCAAACUCCUGGUGGGGCUUGUGUGAAUGUGUCUCUGAGCCGUGAUCCUACACUCUGGGACUCUGUCCUUAUUUCGAAACAGUGUUUUCGAAGAAGCAUCUCUCCCUUGCCUUGGGAGCCUAUGUUCCCAACCUGGAGCCAAGGCAGCCUGGCUUCCAGGGAGGAGACUGGCCCCGGGGGACAGGGUGGUGGGUGGGAAAACAGAAGAGGAUGUUCUCUAUGGGCAGAAGAGAGGGGAGCAGGAAGCCAGGUCAGCCCAGCGCCACUGAGGAGGAGGAGCUGUCCCCCCAGGCUCCUCCCUCCCUGGUGGGGUGGACUGCCCUGAGGGGGCCCAACCCUCUUAAAUGCUGGCCACUGUUCCUGCAGUGCCAGAAGUGUCCUGAGUUCUGAGUCAGUCCCAGAUGGGGACUGCUAGGAGGGCGGCAGGCCGUGAGCUCCCAUGUGGCUCUCCCUCCUAGUUAGAGACCUAGAGGCCAGGAGCAGUGCUUGGAAAAGGUCAGAGACUCUCUGCAGCCACACAGCCCCGUGAGGGCAGAGCGGGCCAAGGGUUGGGUCUCAGGGCCCAGCCUGGCAUCUGGCCUCCCAUGACCUCC